rnacentral:rRNA from 1 species
AUUGAACGCUGGCGGCAUGCCUUACACAUGCAAGUCGAACGGCAUCGCGGGAAAGCUUGCUUUCCUGGCGGCGAGUGGCGAACGGGAGAGUAACACAUCGGAACGUACCGGCUAGUGGGGGAUAACCCGUCGAAAGACGGACCACUACCGCAUACGCUCGUCGGGGGAAAGCAGGGGACCUUUGGGCCUUGCGCUUGCCGAGCGGCCGAUGUCCGAUUAGCUAGUUGGUAGGGUAAAGGCCUACCAAGGCGACGAUCGGUAGCGGGUCUGAGAGGAUGAUCAGCCACACUGGGACUGAGACACGGCCCAGACUCCUACGGGAGGCAGCAGUGGGGAAUCUUGGACAAUGGGGGCAAGCCUGAUCCAGCAAUGCCGCGUGGGUGAAGAAGGCCUUCGGGUUGUAAAGCACUUUAAGCAGGGAGGAAAAGCGCGGGGCUAAUAGCCCUGCUGGAUGACGGUACCAACAGAAGAAGCACCGGCUAACUACGUG